GCAGUAGCCGCGGUAAUACGUAGGUGGCAAGCGUUGUCCGGAAUUAUUGGCGUAAAGCGCGCGCAGGCGGAUCAGUUAGUCUGUCUUAAAAGUUCGGGGCUUAACCCCGUGAUGGGAUGGAAACUGCUGAUCUAGAGUAUCGGAGAGGAAAGUGGAAUUCCUAGUGUAGCGGUGAAAUGCGUAGAUAUUAGGAAGAACACCAGUGGCGAAGGCGACUUUCUGGACGAAAACUGACGCUGAGGCGCGAAAGCCAGGGGAGCGAACGGGAUUAGAUACCCCGGUAGUCCCUGUCUCUUAUACAA
rnacentral:rRNA from 1 species